rnacentral:rRNA from 1 species
AGAGUUUGAUCAUGGCUCAGGAUGAACGCUAGCGGCAGGCCUAACACAUGCAAGUCGAGGGGUAGAACACUUCGGUGUUUGAGACCGGCGCACGGGUGCGUAACGCGUAUGCAAUCUGCCUUGUAGAGAGGGAUAGCCCAGAGAAAUUUGGAUUAAUACCUCAUAGUAUAAUUGAAUGGCAUCAUUUGAUUAUUAAAGUUCCAACGCUACAAGAUGAGCAUGCGUCCCAUUAGUUAGUUGGUGUGGUAACGGCACACCAAGACGAUGAUGGGUAGGGGUCCUGAGAGGGAGAUCCCCCACACUGGUACUGAGACACGGACCAGACUCCUACGGGAGGCAGCAGUGAGGAAUAUUGGUCAAUGGACGCAAGUCUGAACCAGCCAUGCCGCGUGCAGGAAGAAGGUUCUAUGGAUUGUAAACUGCUUUUGUACAGGAAGAAAUUAUCCCUCGUGAGGGAGCUUGACAGUACUGUAAGAAUAAGGAUCGGCUAACUCCGUGCCAGCAGCCGCGGUAAUACGGAGGAUCCAAGCGUUAUCCGGAAUCAUUGGGUUUAAAGGGUCCGUAGGCGGAUUAGUAAGUCAGCGGUGAAAGUUUGCAGCUUAACUGUAAAAUUGCCAUUGAUACUGCUAGUCUUGAAUGUUUGUGAAGUAGCUAGAAUAUGUAGUGUAGCGGUGAAAUGCUUAGAUAUUACAUGGAAUACCAAUUGCGAAGGCAGGUUACUAACAAAUGAUUGACGCUGAUGGACGAAAGCGUGGGUAGCGAACAGGAUUAGAUACCCUGGUAGUCCACGCCGUAAACGAUGGAUACUAGCUGUUUGGUCGUAAGACUGAGUGGCUAAGCGAAAGUGAUAAGUAUCCCACCUGGGGAGUACGUUCGCAAGAAUGAAACUUAAAUGAAUUGACGG